rnacentral:rRNA from 1 species
GAUGAACGCUGGCGGCGUGCCUAAUACAUGCAAGUCGAGCGAACGGACGAGAAGCUUGCUUCUCUGAUGUUAGCGGCGGACGGGUGAGUAACACGUGGAUAACCGACCUAUAAGACUGGGAUAACUUCGGAAAACCGGAGCUAAUACAGGAUAAUAUUUUGAAACGCAUGGUUCAAAAGUGAAAGACGGUCUUGCUGUCACUUAUAGAUGGAUCCGCGCUGCAUUAGCUAGUUGGUAAGGUAACGGCUUACCAAGGCAACGAUGCAUAGCCGACCUGAGAGGGUGAUCGGCCACACUGGAACUGAGACACGGUCCAGACUCCUACGGGAGGCAGCAGUAGGGAAUCUUCCGCAAUGGGCGAAAGCCUGACGGAGCCACGCCGCGUGAGUGAUGAAGGUCUUCGGAUCGUAAAACUCUGUUAUUAGGGAAGAACAUAUGUGUAAGUAACUGUUCACAUCUUGACGUUACCUACUCAGAAAGCCACGGCUAACUACGUG